AGUGAACGCUGGCGGUAGGCCUAACACAUGCAAGUCGAACGGCAGCACAGUAAGAGCUUGCUCUUACGGGUGGCGAGUGGCGGACGGGUGAGGAAUACAUCGGAAUCUACUUUUUCGUGGGGGAUAACGUAGGGAAACUUACGCUAAUACCGCAUACGACCUACGGGUGAAAGCAGGGGAUCUUCGGACCUUGCGCGAUUGAAUGAGCCGAUGUCGGAUUAGCUAGUUGGCGGGGUAAAGGCCCACCAAGGCGACGAUCCGUAGCUGGUCUGAGAGGAUGAUCAGCCACCUUGGAACUGGGACACGGUCCAGACUCCUACGGGAGGCAGCAGUGGGGAAUAUUGGACAAUGGGCGCAAGCCUGAUCCAGCCAUACCGCGUGGGUGAAGAAGGCCUUCGGGUUGUAAAGCCCUUUUGUUGGGAAAGAAAAGCAGCAGGUUAAUACCCCGCUGUUCUGACGGUACCCAAAGAAUAAGCACCGGCUAACUUCGUG
rnacentral:rRNA from 1 species